ACAAUAAAAGAAGGAAAAACCUAUAAAAUUUAAUGCCUAAUAGUAGGAAGACCAACAGUGUCUUAUCUAAAAUAUAAAAUUUAGAUAAGACACUGAGGGAUGCAAAUCACUACUAAAGAAUAAAUCCAAGUACUGUUGGUAUAACAUGGAGAAUGGUAUUUGUUAUCUCCUCCCACUUAUCUCAUUUUGUAGUUCAUUAUACUGGCAGGUCUCUAGCUGCUUGUGAGCUACUUUAUAACGCCGGAUACAGAAACCUUUUCUGGGUGCAAGGUGGCCUGGAAGCUGCAGAAGAGGAGGAUCUUGUUAUCGAAGGUCCUCAACCUCUUAAAUUUGCUGGAAUUGUUGGGGUUUCUGAGUUUCUUGGGUAACUAUUUAUUACUUUUCCUAUUUUCCUUUGGAAUUGUAUAAUAAACAAUCGCUAUGAGACAAUAUAGUACAUGCUAUAGUCUGUAAGUUACCCAGCUGUGAGAAAUUAUAGUACGCCUCAUUCAUAUGGAAAUAUAUAAAAUUCCAUACUACAGGUUAGUACACAUUAUACUACAUGCAAGUUUUCCAGCACCCAGUCUCACCUGGCACUUGUCCUUUGGGUUAGAAAAUGAUACUGGUACGAUCCACUUCUGAUCUACUUCAUAAAGAAAAAUGCAUCCACAGCUGAUCUCUAGACUGCCAUAGAUGAAUUAUCCAGUAGAUGCCAGUAGAUCCGAUUUGGCAUUAUUAUCAGAUAAUGGUUCUACUUCCUCUGAACAAUGAAAAGCAAGGGCUGGUCUUGUUGCUGGUUGAUGUCCCAUAUCUGAGUACAAUGGUGCUUCCAUAAGAAUGGAGCGUGUGGGUUUGGUUGUGGGUUGAAGACCUACUGAGGGCACGUGUUAACCUGUCAAUAUUUCAGAAACUUAGUUUGAAUAUUUGAUUCAACUAAAAGAGAGCGCGGUUUGCAGUUCUGGAUCACCUUUUGGAGACGAGUUUGCCAAUGAUCGCAAAUUUUCCUUGCCGAGUACUUCAAGAAGCCAAAAUACAUAUUUGCUUUUCAAUAAUGUAUACCCCCAUAUUACAUCUUUUCCGAUGCGUUUGAAUCGUCAAAUUUCAUCACUUUUUUUUUUUGGUCUACCAUGUGCUGUUUUGGAGCUAAUCAAGAGUGAUUGUCUAUGCAAAUUUUGUUGAAAUCUUUGUGGAGUUGCUAAAAGUUUACAUUUGAUUGCCUUGUAUUGUAUAGCUUCUGUUAGCGCUAUUGCCGGAUAAUUUAUCCUUGUUUCCUUUAUCUGAGCUCAAGACAAUUUAUGGACGUGUC